CUGCCCACCAGAGCUGGCUCUGCCUUCAGGCAGACUCUGCCCUCACUUCCCACUGCAUGAGCUUCUCCAGCAUGUUCCCGUGUCCACUUCUGGCUGGCUCCUUCUCCCGGUGAGGUGUGGGCUUCCCCUGGACCCCUUCCUGAGGCUGCUGCUGCGGCAGGUCAGCCGCCUCGACACAACAGAAGCUUGUGCAUCUAUUGUUGCUGCCACCGCCAAACUGUCUCAGCUCCCAGACACAUGGAAGCCCUGCAGCUGCCUCCAGCCAGGCUGCGCACUGCCUGUGUCCUCUGCCUAGCAACGAUACUCAGCGGCAGCCAGCCCCACACUUCACUGUCAUCGUCAGCAGAUCUGAGAUAAUCCAAAGAGAAGGCCCCAUAUUCUUCAGUAAUACGCAGAAGGUAUGUCAAAGGCCAACAUUGGACUAAUGAAUGCAGAUCAACAUGGGACAGAUGUAAAUUCUCAGCUACUGCUACACCACCAUGCCUGCUGCCAAGCUUCCUACCCUGAUGAUCAUGCACUCACCUUCUGAAACUGUAAAUGAUGAACCCCCAGGUAAUUACUGUCUUUUAUAAACUGCCUUUGUCUCCAUGUCUCUUCACAACAAUAGAGCAGUGACUAAGCAACAUGUGAUCCUAGAACUUGGAAGGCUGAGGCAGGAGGAUCAAGAGUUUGGCCAACUAAAUAGACACUCUGUCAGUACUGUGUGUUUGUGUGCGCACACACAGCCUCAGUUAUAUGUGGAAUCUAAAGAUAAGUCUUAUUGAGUCGAGUAGAAUUUCUCAGAGGCUGGAAAGAGGAUUGGAUGCUCGGGGUACAGAGCUGUGACCAGGAGGAGGAGGUCCUACCAUGCCAAUAAGCAUGACUGUGGGUCAUUGUUUCUUGAGACAGAUUCUCAUGUGGCUCAGGAUGGCCUCAAACUUGCUAUGCAACCCAGGAUGACCCUAAACCCCAAUUCUUCUGUACUGUUUCUCAAGUCCUAGGAGCUACAGGUUUUUGCCAACAGGGCUGACUCAUGGUUUAUGUUUCAAAAUGGCUAGAAGAAAGGAUUUUGGAUGUUUUACUAUAAAGAAAUGUCUGAGUUGAUGAGCAUGUUAAUUACCCUGACUUGAUUACUAGGCAUUGUGCAUAUUCUGAGAUAUAUAUGUGUGCAUGUGUGUGUGUUAUAUAUGUACCCCCUUAGAACUGAAUAAUUAUUGCAUGCCAAUUCAAAAUAAAAUAAAAUUUUAGCCAGGCAUGGCUGAGGAGGGUGAGUUCCAAGAGACCUGGGCUACAUGGUAAGACUGUGACAGUCUCACAACAAAGCAAAAACAGUAACUCCAAAUAAGCCUUACCUCCUCUAAAAAGUGAAAAUAAUAGCUGAACAUGGUGCUGGGACCUGCAGAGAAAGCAGGGACCCGAGGGGAGGAGGGACCAGUAGAAGAGGCAACUGGACCUAGGCCUGGGAAAGCCAGCACAGGGGAGAGGGUUGAGGAUGGCUGUAAGACCUGUUGCCAGGCAGCUGCAGAAAGAAUGGCGCUCACUAUCUGUAGAGGCCAUGGGACAGAGGGGACACCCCCUCCUCCUUCUCAACACUCGCAGAAGCCAACUCAAGCUUUCCGAGACCCUGACCUUUUCCACAGCUCUCUUCCAACCACACCCCCCAACAGCUAUCCAAGAAACAUGUGUUUUGUCAACACACUUUUAAAGAUUUGCUUGUUUUCCUGUGUAUGCGUGUUUUGCCUGCAUGUGUGUCUGUGUGCCUGAGCCACAUGCAUGCCUCGUGCCCUUGGAGAUCAGAAGAGGGCAUUGGAUCUCCUGGAGCCAGAGUUACAGACAGUUGUCAGCUACCAUCUUAAGGGCUGGGAACAGAACUCGAAUCCCCUGGAAGAGUAACCAGUGCUCUAACCACUGAGCCAUUUCCCAGUCCCUCAGCAACGUUUUUCAUACAUGUAAAAGUAAACACAUUUAUUGCGUAAAACUUGAAAACCACAGAAAAGCAAAGUUGAAAAUCACACUUAAAUUCCCCACACUACACA